AUGGGGUGGUUGUCUGAUGUUUCUUUCUUUAACCACAUUAAAAAAAUAUGGCGACCACGUCGACCACGUUGCGAGAUGCCGGCUGCCGGGAUUUAUUUUUCGCCAUUAAUAAAAUAAUAAUUACCGCCUACUUCAACAAUUGGUGUCGUACGAAAACAGCAGUGCAAUGUACCAUAGAGAGUGUGGGUUGUGGUCGUGGAGAAAAUCAGUUUCAACUAGUUAAAUUAAUAAGAAUAGUAGAACUUCAGUGAAGGGUGUAGUAAAAGUUGAGUUCAGAAUUUAAAAUCUUUCAAUAAUUCUGAAUGUGCUAAAAAUCGAAUUUUUUAUUCUUUUUAAGUUCCAGACAUACAACAUUUUCUUGUUUUAGUUGCAAGUGGUUGCAAUGAUGGUGUACCAAUGGUGAAGGCAGAAUGAGAAACAGGUUUUAGGACAAGAAAAAUCACAGUGACACAAGAAAUAGUCAUCCUGUUAGACUCUGGAAUAUUUGCAUUUCAACCGAUAUUGGUGCAAAUACUGAUUCUAUAAGUCACAUCUUUGCAGAAGAAAUGGCAGCCUGGAAGAAAUUGGCGGUGGUGAUUGGUGUGAAUUUAGAAAUUGAGGCAGGUGUUUCCCACAAUGUACUUGACGAAAGAACUUGAAGGCACUGUAAGCCAAUGCUAUCUGGAAUUUCGCUAGAAAUGUCUUUCAGACAGUCAUAAACGUUGAGAAAAAAGAAGAACCUGAACUCAAAAUAGAACCAGAAGAACCAUAUAGCAUAUAUACUACCGGUAUAACUCUCCAAGACCCACGUGCUCAAAGACUACAUGUAUUAUUAUGGCAUGCUCUUGUUCAUUUACGACUAAUGGUUUUGGUGGAGUCAUCAAAUUGGGCAUUGGAAAGCUAGCUGCAAAGAUUUGUAAACUAGUACACGAGCAAUCCACUUCCGGUCGGUAAGAACCAGGCGUCCUAGAAGAGACACUAUAAAUGACAAAGGCAUAGAGGAAUAGGAAACAUUUUCAUUUCUUUCCCAAUCCAAAGCUAAUGAGCAAAUUUUUCUUUCUAACUAAUCCGGAAACACAAAAUGAUGAAAUUCGUCUUUACGGUCAACUAGUUCGACCGUAUCAUGAGUGAACCAACUAGCCUGAUGUCAUUCAAGAUUUCCAUCACGGUCCCAAGAAUAAUUCCCCGGCUUGGAUUUUCUCAUUGGCCUGACCUCUCUUAAAGAGUCUCUCGUUUUUCCGCACAAACGGCUUUGUGUUGCUACAGAAAGGGUGUUGUUUCUCCGUAAUGAAAGUUAAAAGGGAGACUAGCCUAUAAUUUCCACAUCGCCUGAAACUGCUGUCCAUUUUGCUAGUCUUCGUUAUAGAAGAAAUUCUGCCAUCUCUUCAUCGAUGAGAGACUUGCUGUAACGUUUUGUCAGAAACACUACAGUUAAAGUAAUAAUGAAUGCUAGGUUUUAGCGAACUUAAAUGCGUUGUUCAAGUUUUGUGAGUAGACCAGUCCUGCAAUCAAAUACUGAGUUUUGAGACGUGUCAAAUAGAUGGCGUGUUGAUUGUAUCAGUAAUCGGCUAUGGCGGUUUGCUGUCAAAAGUUAAGCUUUCUUUUCUUCGAAAAUUAAUAAUGAAUUCAUAGGUAAAUUCGAAUUUUUCGUCCGUAACUUGUCGGUGAUGUGUUCUAUUCCGUGUAUAUGUUAAACAACUCUAAUGUUUCUCAUCAACUUACAGUAGGAAACGUGUAAGGGUCGUGCAGCCUAUUGUCAAAGUUCUAUUUUGUUCAAAAUAAUUGUAUUCUACUGAAUGUGCCAUCGAAAUUAUGCAGGUGUCAUCAUAAUUAUCUGCUGUUUGUAUUGGACUUGCUAGAUCACCAACCUCAGCAUAGACCAAUCUCUCAUUCCAUCAUUCUAGAUAAACUUGGAUAACUGAUGGGUGGUUUCAUGUGUUCUAAAUUAGAGGUUUCUAAAUUGGCAUGACCAACUUUAUGAGAAGUCAUGUCCUUUCAAGAAAAGGACAAGGACUAUACAGUCCUUCCUUGUUUGCUAACCUGUUGGCUGCAACCCUUGAAUCUCCAUUAUUUACUUCCUUACACGGGCCCUCCUGAUUUGAGAAUAAUCCUUCACUACUGAUCAUGGACUUCAUCCAUUGGUGAAAACGGACGAGAGAAUGCUGUAAUCCAAGACUGAUUAAUUGUGUAGUU
rnacentral:lncRNA from 1 species